UGGGGAAUAUUGGACAAUGGGCGCAAGCCUGAUCCAGCCACGCCGCGUGAGUGAUGAAGGCCUUCGGGUCGUAAAGCUCUGUGGGGAGGGACGAACCGCCGUUGGUUCAUAGCCAACGGCAUGACGGUACCUCCUUAGCAAGCACCGGCUAACUUCGUGCCAGCAGCCGCGGUAAUACGAAGGGUGCAAACGUUGCUCGGAAUUAUUGGGCGUAAAGCGCACGUAGGCGGCUUUGCAAGUCGGAUGUGAAAUCCCACGGCUUAACCAUGGAAGUGCAUCCGAAACUGCAGAGCUUGAGUACUUAAGAGGAUCGCGGAAAUUCCCGGUGUAGAGGUGAAAUUCGUAGAUAUCGGGAGGAACACCAGUGGCGAAGGCGGCGAUCUGGGAAGAUACGUGACGCUGAGGUGCGAAAGCGUGGGGGAGCAAACAGGAUUAGAUACCCUGGUAGUCCACGCCGUAAACGAUGAGUGCUAGAUGCU
rnacentral:rRNA from 1 species